ACAGCCAAUCAACAACAAACUGCAGAGUGGCAAUUUGUUGCUUUCUGCUCAGGGGUUAUAAGGAUAACCAGGCAAAGACAUGGAUCCAUGGCGGAGAGUGGACGGGGGACUGCAUUGCCAUCUGUCACUUUUUUGAUACUACCACUGGGGGGCUCCAAGGAUAUGUGGCCCGUCACUUAAAAC